rnacentral:lncRNA from 1 species
GCAGCAAGUAAAUUUGUCGAGCUAACCCGCUGUGCAAAUUGUGUUUGCUUCCAUUGGUGAAAUCGCUGUGCAAACUGAAAUAACAAGGAGAAAUUCAGAGUGGAGACGCAAGAAACCAAGUCAAAGUGAGCAAGAUAGCAUUUUUGUUUGGAAAAAUGUCGAGAUACUCGCAGUAUUGCCUGUACAUGCGACCCUAAUUUGGACGCGUAGUGGAGUGGAUGGCUACCUCUUGUUCUCUUCUGAAUUGGUGGUGUGCUACUGUGCUUAUUUUAGAUGCCUUUCGCAGUGGUUUUGUUAGUUUCAGUCAAUGGACUGAUCAACACACACGCGGUCGACAUUUUUCGAUAAAGAGCGAUUUUAUUAUCUCAGAGUGUACAAAACAUUAUGAGUAACAUCCGGCCGCAUAACUAAGAUGCAUACAGCCAAAUUCAAAAGUCUGACAAAAACAUGAAAUAUAAACCGACAUAUCGGCAACAGUCCUAUAGACCGACACUAUGCCUAUGUCGAAGGUGGUGGUGGGUCGAUCCGGAGGUUAUGCUGCCACCCAUGCUGAGAAAAAACCUCCGUAGCCAGGGCUCCAACCGCGUACACACCGCCUUGAACAACGAUUGAUGCCCCGAUCGUUGUAGCAUGAACCACAUAUGAAGCGAGUGCGUAUGACGGAAAAUAACCUGCAGAGGAGAAGCAUUUUUUUCAUUAAAAACCAAAUCGUUUCUACAUAGCCAGAGCGACCAAAUUAAGGCGUACGCUCUCACCCUUAUAAACGCUUUAAAUCUAUUUGGAAUACCGUCCAACCAGUGACCAAAUAUAUUGGCAACACUUAUGGGCGGAUAUAUAUUUGAUGCUAUUUGGAUGAUUGACCACGUAGAACGUGCAAACUUGAAUUGGAAAAAGAGGUGUUUGAUUGUCUCGUCAUGAGUACAAAAACGACACUUCUUACUCCCUGGCCAGUUGCGUCGUGCGAGGUUGUUUUUGGUUAACAAAACUCCCUUACGAAGAUACCAUAUGAAAAUUUUCACUUUUAGUGGAAUCUUGGACUUCCAAAUUUUCUUGUUAUUACUCACUGGUACCUCAGAAUGU